UGGGGAAUAUUGCACAAUGGGCGCAAGCCUGAUGCAGCCAUGCCGCGUGUAUGAAGAAGGCCUUCGGGUUGUAAAGUACUUUCAGCGAGGAGGAAGGCAUUAAGGUUAAUAACCUUAGUGAUUGACGUUACUCGCAGAAGAAGCACCGGCUAACUCCGUGCCAGCAGCCGCGGUAAUACGGAGGGUGCAAGCGUUAAUCGGAAUUACUGGGCGUAAAGCGCACGCAGGCGGUCUGUCAAGUCGGGAUGUGAAAAUCCCCCGGGGCUCAAACCUGGGAACUGCAUUCGAAACUGGCAGGCUAGAGUCUUGUAGAGGGGU
rnacentral:rRNA from 1 species